UUUUUUUUUUUUUUUGACUGAGAAGAAGGAUUUUGAUAGGAUGAAAACGAAAACACAACAAGAAAAGAAACGUAAGGAAUCAAGAAUCAGAAACUGGGACAAAUAGUAGGAGAGGAAACAAAUAGUAGGGGAGGAAGAGAGGAUGAGAAGAGGAUCACAGGUGAGGAUCGAAAAGGGCUGAUACCAUGUAUCUAGUCCACGCCCAAUAAUACCUCCGCAGGCCCACCUGCCGAGCCCAUUGUCAUCCUCAUCUGGCAACAUCAAUAAUUUUAGUUUACCUCCGCAGGCUCCCCUGCCGAGCCCAGUCAACUUUGCUCCAGCCUCAUCCAUCGCAUUCCACACAAUCCCAAAUCUUCUUGCCGCAAAUCGAGUUGCCCGGUCUGAUCUCCCCCGUCGGUCAGUCCGACGGCGACCCAUUACCUGCCGUCGCCGACUCCCUCCCGGCCACCGUUGUUCUGUCCUCUCCCGUCGGUCCGUCACCUGCAGAUUUGCCCCAUAUUGAACCACCGCCCUCAAUUCCAAUCUCUAGUACAGACACGACGUCGCCGGUCGUCCCAACUAUACAGUACAGUCGCCGCCGUCCUCAACAGUCGUCGCCGGAUUCUGCCGCCGUCAUCCACCCACCAGUGACAGCUUCCACUGCGGCGCAUCCAUCACAACCACAUGACCAGUCUGUCACUCCAUCAAACAUCUCCACUCCAUCUGACGCGGCUCCACCGCCAACGCGUCUUCGGGAAGGUAUUGUUCAACCUCGCCAACGCACUGAUGGCACUGUCAGGUACCCUUACCUCGUGCUCUCUUAUCCAUCAUUGAUUCUAUGGAACCUACCUGUUACACUCAAGCAUCAAAACAUGAACAAUGGAGAGAUGCCAUGGCCACAGAGAUCAAUGCUCUUCUGAAAAACAAUACUUGGUCUCUUGUUCCUCCUUCCCCAUCACAUCACAUAGUGGGUUGCAAAUGGGUGUUUCGUAUUAAGCGUAACCCCGAUGGUUCCAUUGAACGCCACAAGGCCCGUCUUGUGGCAAAAGGAUUUCACCAACAACACGGCAUUGACUAUGGGGAAACCUAUAGCCCAGUCAUAAAACCAGCAACCAUUCGUACCGUGCUUACUAUCGCUGUGUCUAGAGGCUGGUCACUUCGUCAGCUGGACGUUAAAAAUGCCUUUCUUCAUGGCUAUCUUCAGGAAGAUGUUUUCAUGACUCAACCACCUGGCUUUGUCGACUCCUCUCGGCCCUCUUAUGUUUGUAAGCUUCACAAGGCACUUUAUGGCCUCAAACAAGCACCUCGUGCUUGGUUCCAAAGGAUGAGUUCCUUUUUGUCAUUUGUUGGGUUUCAGCAUAGUCAGGCAGAUUCUUCUCUCUUCAUUUAUCAACAUGGGUUGCAUACCAUUUUCUUUUUACUAUAUGUUGAUGAUAUUGUGGUUACAGGCAACAAUGAUACGCUCCUCCAAAGUUUUAUUGAUGCCUUAGGCCGAGGAUUUGACAUGCAAGGAUCUCGGCCCUCUUCAUUAUUUCCUUGGGUUGCAGGUCACAUUACAUUCCAAUGGACUGUACAUAAAUCAACUCAAGUAUGCUCAUGAUAUUUUAGUGAAGCAUGAUCUGUUACUAAGCCAACCGAUGAGCACUCCCAUGUCAGCCAAGUCCAUUCUCACCUCCACUGAUGGCGAACUUCUUGAUAAUCCUACUGCCUUCCGCGAGAUAGUUGGCUCGUUACAGUAUCUAACUAUUACCCGGCCUGACAUAGCUUUUGCUGUCAACUCUGUUUCUCAAUUCAUGAGCCAGCCCCGAGUUCCACAUCUUAUUGCUGCUAAACGCAUCCUCCGUUAUGUCAAAGGCACACUUGGUCAUGGUCUCUCCUUCACUCCUCAACGACAACCUGUCCACCUUUCUGCUUACUCUGAUGCUGAUUGGGCUGGUUGCCCGGAUUCUCGCCGUUCCACUUCUGGCUAUCUCAUUUACCUUGGCAGUAAUCUAAUUUCUUGGUGUUCCAAAAAGCAGCCCACUAUAGCUCGCUCUAGUGCAGAAUCUGAGUAUCGGUCUCUUGCACAUGCCAGUGCUGAAACAACAUGGUUAGGCUUCUUACUAUAUGAACUUGGUGUCACAAUUCAGUUUCCAAUACUGCUUUAUUGUGAUAACCUCAGUGCCACAUACAUGGCUUCUAAUCCGGUCUUCCAUGCUCGCACGAAACACAUAGAGUUGGAUUAUCACUUUGUUCGUGAAAAAGUUGCACUUGGGAGUCAUCGGGUUAAUUUUGUUCCUUCAGUAGAUCAACCAGCUGAUCUCCUUACAAAACCACUCCACAAGCAACGACAUCAUCUCCUCUGUGCCAAACUUGUGCGUCCAGAACCGCCCAGUUUGAAGGGGGGUGUUAGAGCUAUUCACUCACUGCCUCAAUCAAGCCUAUUAUCUUCCCCAAAUCAAGUUCCUUGAUUACUGAUAUAUUCUAGAUAUGACAGUUACUGUUAGCAUUGAUAUUAGGCUAAUUAUAUGGAUCUUGUAAUUACUUACUUGUAGCAAUUGCUAGGAUAGCAACACUGCUAUGUAUGUGAAGUCUGUAAAUCUUUUGAAUCAAUGAAAACCAUUUCUAGUUUUCUACACAUCCUAUUACUGGUUUUUUCUUUUGAGGGAGAUAUUAUACAUUCUUAGUGUUCAUGAUGCAUUUUGAGAUGAUGACCAGUUCCCAUAUAUCCUCUGGAAUAUGCUGAACCCUCUAUAUAUAUGUGCCUACUUAUUCUAUCUGGAUUUCCAUUUGGGUUGCCAUGACAGUUUAAUAAUUGUUGUUUGCAUAGGCCAAAAAUGGAGCUAUAUAAAAGUUGGAAAUGGAAUACAGUAACUUCAAGAACGUUGGCAAUUGGCUGAAGCAGAUGUUCUAGAUGGUCAGCAAAAGAACUUGGAAUUGAACUAUCAAACUUUGGUUUUCAAUUCGUAUAUAGGUAUCGGUUAUGUCAUCCUUUGAAGCAAAAAGCUUGUAUAUUAAUGCCAUUUACUAUACUUUUAAUUGCAAUUAGUUCAGAAGUCACCUCCAUUAUGUAUAUAGGCUUCAUUGC
rnacentral:lncRNA from 1 species